CCUACGGGUGGCAGCAGUGGGGAAUAUUGCACAAUGGGGGAAACCCUGAUGCAGCAACGCCGCGUGAAGGAAGACGGUUUUCGGAUUGUAAACUUCUUUUCUUAGUGAAGAAGAAAGUGACGGUAGCUAAGGAAUAAGCAUCGGCUAACUACGUGCCAGCAGCCGCGGUAAUACGUAGGAUGCAAGCGUUAUCCGGAUUUACUGGGUGUAAAGGGAGCGCAGGCGGGACUUCAAGUUGGAUGUGAAAUACCGGGGCUCAACCCCGGAGCUGCAUCCAAAACUGUAGUUCUUGAGUGGAGUAGAGGCAAGCGGAAUUCCGAGUGUAGCGGUGAAAUGCGUAGAUAUUCGGAGGAACACCAGUGGCGAAGGCGGCUUGCUGGGCUCUAACUGACGCUGAGGCUCGAAAGUGUGGGGAGCAAACAGGAUUAGAUACCCCUGUAGUC
rnacentral:rRNA from 1 species